UACGGGGGGGGCAAGCGUUGUUCGGAAUUACUGGGCGUAAAGGGCGCGUAGGCGGCCUGCUAAGUCGGACGUGAAAUCCCUCGGCUCAACCGAGGAACUGCGUCCGAUACUGGUGGGCUUGAAUCCGGGAGAGGGAUGUGGAAUUCCAGGUGUAGCGGUGAAAUGCGUAGAUAUCAGGAGGAACACCAAUUGCGAAGGCAGCUCGCUGGGACGUAACUGACGCUGAGACGCGAAAGCGUGGGGAGCAAACAGG
rnacentral:rRNA from 1 species